AUUGAACUUGAAAACAUAUUUACAGCCUAGAUGUUGGGGUUGGACCUUCUGUAAACUCUAAAGGCAGUUUAUAAAUUAAAUGCACGAGUGAUGUGACUCUGCUAUAUUUAUGCUGAGGAAUUAAAUAGCAAAAUCUAGUAUUUCACUGAUGUAUUUAUAUAAAGUAUCUGCUAUAACCUUGUAUAGUACAUUACAUGAUAAUCAUAUUUGAACCUUCCUUCUGGGGACACUAUCUCUCAAGACGUUUUAUGCACCAUGUCAACAAGGUAGAAUGGGAAGCCCUGGGAGAAAACUUGAACUCUUCUCAACUAGAAGAUUGCAGGAAAGGUCCAGUAGAUCAGUUGGAAGAAAUGCUGCAGCUAGGAGAGGUGGAUGCUAGGUGAUAGUUUUACAUUGUGCUGAGGCUUAGAAGCCAAUACCUCAAAAUACGGCGCUUUGAUACUCUGAACUGAAAAAGAAGCCUCAAAGUCUUCCUGAACUACCUUACUUCCCUCCACCCAGCCCCUCGCUCCUGUCUCUCAAUCCUUUGUCUUUCCUGAAGCACAAGAAGAAGUUGUUUUCUGAAGUUCUCUUAUCUGCCUAAAGCCUGGACUCAGAACAAUUAUGUCUGCUGGGACUUCAGUUUUCAUUAACUGAACUAAUAUCACACGAAGAAAGACAGAAGCCUAUCCACACUCAUGGACAGACUUUUGUCACAAACCAUCAUCUGCUCUUCAGGCCCAAGAGACACUAUCCUAGGCCAUUGUAUCUU
rnacentral:lncRNA from 1 species